UACAGAGGGGGCAAGCGUUGUUCGGAAUUACUGGGCGUAAAGGGUGCGUAGGCGGUCGCGCAAGUCGGAUGUGAAAUCUCAGGGCUCAACCCUGAAACUGCAUUCGAUACUGCGUGGCUAGAGUGCUGGAGAGGAGACUGGAAUUUACGGUGUAGCAGUGAAAUGCGUAGAUAUCGUGAGGAACACCAGAGGCGAAGGCGACUACCUGGACAAUAGCUGACACUCAGGCACGAAAGCGUGGGGAGCCAAAGGG
rnacentral:rRNA from 1 species